AUGGGCGGCUCGGGGAGCACAUUGAGGAAGGAGCGCGUGAAAAAACUGCUAGAUCGGUUGAACCUGCAUGAACAAGAGGGAGACGGGGUUGUGUGGGAAGAGGAGAUCGUUGAGCCUCCAGCAGUGAUCAAAUGGUUAGCGAUUGCUAGGGUUCACACGACCAGAGGGUUUAGUCCUACAACCCUCUAUUCAGAUAUGAGAUCGGCCUGGAAUCCAACGAGAGAGGUGGUUUGGAGGAGGGUUCAGGAAAACCUAUUCGAUGUACAAUUCGGUUGUCUCGCUGGCUGGAACAAGGCGAUGACCAUGGCCCCCUGGCUUUUCAGGUAUCAAGUUGUUAUUCUGGAGGAAUAUGAUGGGUUUGAAGACCCUAGAUCGGUGGUCUUAAACCAGAUAGCGGUGUGGGCAAGUGUUCUACGCCUCCCUGAUAAUCUGUUGCAUGAUGUGGUGAUACGGGGGAUGUGUCGUCCUAUGGGGAAAAUUCUGGCUCUUCAGAUAAAGCUCCUAGCGGGUUAUGUAUGA
rnacentral:rRNA from 1 species